UGGGUCUGCAUCUAAUCCUUACUCUUCCGGAUCCAUCUACAAUAAACACAUAAAAUAAAAAAAUAUAUAUAUAUUAAGAAUCAAUCAAUAAAAAAUUAAUAUUUAAAUUUUAAUAGUUAUAAAUAUAUAAUAUUUUAAUUAAAUUAUUCUAUAUAUGCAUCUCAUCCAUAAUAACCUCCUCAUCCACAAGAGGUCGUGUU
rnacentral:lncRNA from 1 species